rnacentral:piRNA from 1 species
UCACAAGAGCCUUUUCAUUGAGCAGAAGC